UUUUUUUGUGAUAUUAGUAGUGGCACUACUGUUAAAUGUAGUAUUUUAAGAAGAACAGCACUAUUUAUGGUCAUUAAAAUGAACUAGAAUGUGUAUUGUGCAUUAUGGUAGCUUUGGAGGCAGCCAUCUUGUUUUGUAUCAAUCUCCUCAUGCUCAGAGACAGUCACUCACUUCAUGUGUAAGGGGUUCGACUAGUUUUGGGGGAGUUGUUGAGUGGACUUGCCCAAAUCCGAGCCCACUUUUCUCCUUUGAAUGACAAGUCUGCAUGGUCUCACCAACAGACAUUACCGCCCAUUCCCUCAAAUCGUACUUUUUUUAUUUUCUAUAAAGAAAAACAAUUCUAUUACUUUAUUUUUAAUUUCUUGUUUCAUUCUUUCAUUUAAACCAAUUUUUAAAGAGAAGGAAUACAAUAAAUACAAAUCUGAAUAUUCAAUCACUUUUUCUACUUCUAUUUUCAAAAUAACUGAAGAAAAAAAACGAAAUAAAAAGUUGAUUUGUAUAUAAGUGAUGUACAGUUUGUAUCUGUUAAUGUCAGUCUGUCUUUGGUGACAGAGUCUGUCUUGCUUAUAACGCACGCUACCAGUAAAUAAAACAUGACAAAUAUAUUUAGACUGUACGGUCCUUGAAAGCAAGUUUUAAAUUAAUCUGAUGUAUAUUCCUGUAACAUUGCAUUUUUAUCUGAGGAAUUAUGUUAUUAAAAAAUUGCUAAUAAAUUGCAUUUCCUACAUCUCCUUUUUGGAUUCUCUAUCUAUUCUGGAGGUUUGGGAGGCAUCACAAUGCAGAAGUGUAAGUCCAAUACUUGGCAUAGGUUUAGCCAACAUUUUAAACCAACUAUUUGUUUAAUGGUUCCCCCAAAAAACUGUAUUGCACCUGUGGUUACGAUGGUCUGUGUGUUGUCAGUGGGAGAAUUUAGAACCCUGUGUCCCUGUUCGAAUGUUCCUGUUCUCUUCUGGAAUUUCCAGGACAGGAUGACGACAUCGCAUCUAGAUAAACUCACCUGUUAUUCCUGCUCUGUCGAAGCCACGGUCUGACGUGGCACUGGGAAUGACUGUCCUGCUGACAGGCUAAACACACACACACGUACAUGUAGUGACUGUUGUGUUAGACAGAAAACCC
rnacentral:lncRNA from 13 species